rnacentral:rRNA from 1 species
AUAUUGUAGCUUGCUACGGUAUAAUUUAGUGGCAGACGGGUGAGUAAUGUAUAGGAAUCUACCUAGUAGUACGGAAUAAUUGUUGGAAACGGCAACUAAUACCGUAUACGCCCCAUGGGGAAAAAUUUAUUGCUAUUAGAUGAGCCUAUAUUAGAUUAGCUUGUUGGUAGGGUAAUAGCUUACCAAGGCAAUGAUCUAUAGCUGAUCUGAGAGGAUGAUCAGCCACACUGGAACUGAGAUACGGUCCAGACUCCUACGGGAGGCAGCAGUGGGGAAUAUUGGACAAUGGGCGAAAGCCUGAUCCAGCUAUGCCGCAUGAGUGAAGAAGGCCUUUGGGUUGUAAAGCUCUUUUAGUGAGGAAGAUAAUGACGGUACUCACAGAAGAAGUCCUGGCUAACUCCGUGCCAGCAGCCGCGGUAAUACGGAGAGGGCUAGCGUUAUUCGGAAUUAUUGGGCGUAAAGGGCGCGUAGGCUGACUAAUAAGUUAAAAGUGAAAUCCCGAGGCUUAACCUUGGAAUUGCUUUUAAAACUGUUAAUCUAGAGAUUGAAAGAGGAUAGAGGAAUUCCUAGUGUAGAGGUAAAAUUCGUAAAUAUUAGGAGGAACACCAGUGGCGAAGGCGUCUAUCUGGUUCAAAUCUGACGCUGAGGCGCGAAGGCGUGGGGAGCAAACAGGAUUAGAUACCCUGGUAGUCCACGCUGUAAACGAUGAAUGUUAAAUAUGGGAAAUUUAUUUUCUGUAUUACAGCUAACGCGUUAAACAUUCCGCCUGGGGACUACGGUCGCAAGAUUAAAACUCAAAGGAAUUGACGGGG